GGAAGCUGUCGACAUGCUUCUUUGUGCUUUGAUCUAGGAAAUCACAAAUAUCCAAAAUAGUCAGAUUUAACGGUAAUUAUCAUUUGCAAUGAUCUAGCUAGAAGGUAUCAGUAUCGGGAAUGUGCACAACCCAGAUAUGAUGUAGAGGUGAUUCAGUUAGGAAAGAGUGUGCAGAAAUUGAACUUAUUGCAGAUCAUUUGUUUGAGUUAGGAAUUCAUAUGACGACAAUAUUAUUAGCAGAGGUUAGUUGACUCUGAGUUUUGCAUAUAGGAGGUUCUCAACAUGUUGAUAUGUUUCCAAGAAAUUUUUAGAAGGCUCACAUUAGGUUACUCUUAUUUCCUUAGAGAGAUGGGAAUGGUGAUAUGUUAAGAACACAUGUAAAUUCAGUUAGGUUCAUCAAACAGCUAUCAUAUGUAUUAAGUGCAUAGGCACAUCACAAAUAAAGCUUACGAUUGUGGGGCUGAAUCAUGUGAGCUAUUGUAUUGAAUGCCCUAAGCCUAUUGGAAAGAAAAUUGUGUAGCUCCUGUUGCUGGAAAGCUCCACUCAAUCCGAUGCUCUGCUUUCCAGUUGGUCAUUGAUGAGAAUUUAGCACCUUCAGAUACACAAGCUACUACCUCACAAGCAUACACAUUCAAGCUGUACAGGGUUCGAGGAAAGAAUGAAAUCAUUUGAUCAAACAGCUUGAGAUUACACCACUGCUAAAGUUGCCCACAGCUAUGCCAAACCAAAUGUCCCGUGAAAUACCAUUAGCAGCUACUUUUGUGCAAUUAAGAUUACACACAAUCAAUGUUUAUUUGAGGUUCUUUUGAUAAACAAUGUAAGCCUUGUUUGGUUGGUUGGAAUUCUCUUUGUCAACUGAAAGCUUGUGGAGGCCUAGGAUUUUGGAAUGUUGGAGAUAAUAAUGAGGCUUUUCUUCUAAAACUUGGCUGGACUUUUUUCCCCAACAGUUCAGCUCUAUGGGUUCGAGUUUUGAGCAGAAAUAUAAUCAAAAGUUGACCUCUCUUCCUUACACUCUCAAUGGGACUAACGAUUCGGGAAUAUGUAGAGGUAUUGCUAGAGUUUGGCCUCAUUUAUUGCAUGGGUUCUCUUGAUUGAUUGAUAAUGUUGGUCCUCUUUAUCUUUACUUGUGUACUCCAAUUCCAGGUGUGUUUUAGAGAAUCUACUAUCAACAACUAUGUUACUCCUUUAGGUCAAUGGUGAUGGGAGGAUUCUCCUCUUUUCUUCCUCUAUUUAUUUAAAGAUAGCUAGUAUUCAACUACCUUGUAGAGAUUUGGAUGGGGAUGUCAUAGUGGGGAGUGUCAAAGAACUAUCUCAAUCCAAAAAUCUAAGCUUUUAGGUGAGGUUUCAACAAUAGUUUUAUAUUACUCUGUAUCAUAAUCUCUAAUCCCUCAAGCGAGCUUUUUGAACUUGAAACUUGUACAAGACCCCCACUAUUUUACGCUUGAUUUUUAUAAUUUUAAUUAGAUAGAAUAGGAUGGUGAGAUUCAAAUUCCUGAUUGUUGUCACUAAGAAUCUAAUACCAUGUUAAAUAAUUAUCUUUCCUCAAAAGUUUAAACUACCUUAAUUCUUAAGUUAUAAGGUGAGGCUUUAAGAAUAAUUUUGUAUUACUCACUAAUAGGGUGCUACUAGCAAUGGAAAAUUCACAACUAAAUUAGCCUACUGUCUUCUUCAGGAAGGUACUUGAAAUCCAACUAGUAAGGUUUGGGAUUUAGCUUGGAGUUGGAAUGGUCCACAACACUUUCAUAGUUUUCUUUGGCUGAUUCUUUAUGGCAAAAUUUUAACAAUGAGCAGCAUGUUAGGCGUCAUAUGACAAAUGAUGCUUCCUGUUUUCACUGUGGUUUUUGUCUUGAAUCUAUUAUCCAUGUUUUGAGGGAUUGCACUCUUGCUGAUUUUGUGUGGAAUGGCUGCAAUGCUCCUGAUUUUGUGUCAGAUUUCUUGAUGUCAGAUUACUGCUCAGCUGCAUAGCACAGGGCUCCAACAGUGUAUAUGGUGAAGUUAGGAGAUGUCUAAAUGCAGGUCUCCAAAUAUCAAUCAUGGAUGGUUAUUCAAACAAGAAAAGGGCUCACCAUGGAAAGUAUAGAUUAUUUCCAGAUAGAAUCUAUAUUGACUAAAACACACACUUGUGUGGAAUCUCAUUGGAGUGCAAUUUGUGGCAGGAAGCCAUUUCUCUCACUUGUGCAACUCUAUGCUUUAGACUUGGUGAUAUCUGUUUCAUGACUGCUAAUUAUUACACUUAUUUCUGCAAGCCCUUUAUCAUGAAUACUACAAAACAAUGGAGAUAUUGAAGUUGGUCUAUUAGGCUUGACUAAUUCUAUUCUAUGCUAGCGGCUUGAGUCUUCUGCUUCAAUCAUGCCCGCCUUGAAGGUAGAGCAUUUUACAAACAUUCAAGUAGCUAGAUAUCACAAACUUCUUGAUUAAUGACUUGUUAUAAGUUGGAAGAUUUUUGUGACCAGAACUGAUCACUGUAUGAAUGUAAAAGAAUGGAAGUGAAUUUUCUACCAUGUUGCAUUUACUAUUAGGAAGUAAAUCAUCCUUUUUGUUGAACUUUAAAUGUGAACCUGUUAUGAUUUUUCAAUGUGGCAAGAACACUAUCACUAUCAUUCUUGAUAGUAUCAAUAAAAUGUCUUAGACACUGGCCUAUA